GGUUUUGUCCUUUUCGAUCUUGCUCUUGCGAACUGGGUCAGGCCUUGAUCGGAGCAGCCCUAAACAAGAAACAAGAUGCUUGGAGGGUAGCAAAAUUGA
rnacentral:SRP_RNA from 1 species